rnacentral:lncRNA from 1 species
CGUCCUCUGCUGUCUCCCUCUUCACAGUAGGUGUUACGUCUCACCCUUCCCCUUGUGUAGCCGUAUUGGUCUCUCGGGUACAUCUGUGGCAUCCUUUUGGGGAACUUUAUCAACUAUACACACUUUAAACUUGAGUUUCCUGGGUAUUAGCUCAGUUCUGGUCAGAUGCAAUGUCUGUUGCUCUUUCCCUGUAGGUUAAAUGUGCCAUAGCUGGUCAGAAAGGGGGAAUGUGCCCCCUCUAGUCCUGCAGAGUGGAAACAGUGGCCCUAGAGACAGGAGACCUGCAGCAUCUCCACACCUCGAUCUCACUUUGGGGAGGCAGAUGGGCAUGGGCUUUUGGCUGGCCAUAGAGUUUGUACUGCACAGACCUGACUCCUGUGCCCCCUGGCACCUGAAGAUCCCACCAGACAGCAUGCUUUGGAAGAUGUACAAGCUGUAAUUGAGCCAUUUGAACUCAAAAUGUGGGCAGCAAAGGCCCUAGCCCCUGCCCUUCAUUGGCUGUUGGAGCAGUGUUUUGUAGUACAUAAUGGGUUUCCACCUUUGUAGCAGUCCUUGGCUUUAGUGAACUUGAUGUUCCACCUUCACAGCCAGGUCUCCCUUUGGAAUGAAUUUGUGGUGAGGUCAGCACUACUGCCUGGGGGCAGGGAAUGGACGCAGAGGAUCUGGACUCAAGGGGCAUUGAGCUGGUUGCCCAGGCUGCCCUCCCUCAAAUUUCCAUUCAGUGCCUUGUGAGAUGACUCUGACCUGAUUGGGCAAACUGUCCUUACAGGCUCCAGCAGGGAAGGGCCCCUAGCCUGAGUGGGAUGCCCUCUAGUGGAGGAGGCCUGCAUCCUUAUCAGAGCUUGUCAGAAGCUGCAGCUAGCAGAUGAUGUGUGCACCUUGGUACAGUCGUCUAAGUGACAGGGUUUGAAGCUAGUAGGGUGCCAGAAGGAAUCUAAGACUAAGAAAAUAGAUGUAUUCUCCAUGUAUGGCCACUUGAAGGAAUGCUAAAUCCAAGGACCAAGUAAAUAGUAGGUUUUACAGGUUUCAUUUCAAGCUUUUUCUCAAAAGCCAGCUUGCCUUGUUGAAUUUAAAUAGCUUUGAUUGGCAAUUUAUUUACACCCCUUGUUUUCAGAACAUGUCAGCUGAAUAAAGUUGAGGUUUAUUUAGAAAACUUU